AAUAGCACCAUUUCCUAUCAUGGUGAGUAGCUUAAAAUCAUGAAAUCCCACAUCAAUGGCCAAUUUGAGCUGAGAUAGCUUGUAUGCGACCUCCAUCAUGAUUACCUUAUUGAACCCUACAAUGACAAGGCUUAUAGAUGGUGUUGGGCUAGGUUAGGAUUUUGAAGGUGGCGAACAAUGGUUAUUGUGGUGAUGAUUGUGGUUAGCUGAUGUGGGGGAUGAAUUAGGGAAGAAAUCCUAAAGAAGUCAGUUGUGACGGGUGUGCGGUACCUGAAAUACCAGUGAAUAUCGCAAUAUAAAACCGUUGCUAUUGUGAUUCCUCUCU
rnacentral:lncRNA from 1 species